GACGAACGCUGGCGGCGUGCUUAACACAUGCAAGUCGAACGCUGAAGCUCAGCUUUUGUUGGGUGGAUGAGUGGCGAACGGGUGAGUAACACGUGAGUAACCUGCCCCCUUCUUUGGGAUAACGCCCGGAAACGGGUGCUAAUACUGGAUAUUCACUGGUCUUCGCAUGGGGGUUGGUGGAAAGGGUUUUUCUGGUGGGGGAUGGGCUCGCGGCCUAUCAGCUUGUUGGUGGGGUGAUGGCCUACCAAGGCUUUGACGGGUAGCCGGCCUGAGAGGGUGACCGGUCACAUUGGGACUGAGAUACGGCCCAGACUCCUACGGGAGGCAGCAGUGGGGAAUAUUGCACAAUGGGCGCAAGCCUGAUGCAGCGACGCCGCGUGAGGGAUGGAGGCCGUCGGGUUGUGAACCUCUUUCGCUCAUGGUCAAGCCGCAACAAUAGUUGUGGUGAGGGUAGUGGGUAAAGAAGCGCCGGCUAACUACGUG
rnacentral:rRNA from 1 species